rnacentral:rRNA from 1 species
GUCCCAGCCCUAAACGAUGGUCACUGGACGUUCCCCGGUUCCCGGGGAGUGUCGCAGCUAACGCGCUAAGUGACCCGCCUGGGGAGUACGGUCGCAAGACUGAAACUCAAAGGAAUUGACGGGGGCCCGCACAAGCGGUGGAGCAUGUGGUUCAAUUCGACGCAACGCGAAGAACCUUACCCGGGCUUGAAGAGCGUAGGAUCAGCCGAGGAAACUCGGCCUUCCCGCAAGGGACUUACGUAGAGGUGCUGCAUGGCUGUCGU